UACGGGGGGGGCAAGCGGUGUUCGGAAUUACUGGGCGUAAAGGGCUCGUAGGUGGCCAACUAAGUCAGACGUGAAAUCCCUCGGCUUAACCGGGGAACUGCGUCUGAUACUGGAUGGCUUGAGUUCGGGAGAGGGAUGCGGAAUUCCAGGUGUAGCGGUGAAAUGCGUAGAUAUCUGGAGGAACACCGGUGGCGAAGGCGGCAUCCUGGACCGACACUGACACUGAGGAGCGAAAGCCAGGGGAGCAAACGGG
rnacentral:rRNA from 1 species